UUGACCCGGCGAUGUCCGAAUGGGGAAACCCAGUGUGUUCCGACACACUAUCGUUAACUGAAUACAUAGGUUAACGAGGCGAACCGGGGGAACUGAAACAUCUAAGUACCCCGAGGAAAAGAAAUCAACCGAGAUUCCCCCAGUAGCGGCGAGCGAACGGGGAGCAGCCCGGAGUCUGAAUCAGCUUGUGUGUUAGUGGAACGGUCUGGAAAGUCCGACGGUACAGGGUGAUAGUCCCGUACACGAAAACACACUGGUUGUGAACUCGAAGAGUAGGGCGGGACACGUGGUAUCCUGUCUGAAUAUGGGGGGACCAUCCUCCAAGGCUAAAUACUCCUGACUGACCGAUAGUGAACCAGUACCGUGAGGGAAAGGCGAAAAGAACCCCGGCGAGGGGAGUGAAAAAGAACCUGAAACCGUGUACGUACAAGCAGUGGGAGCACCUUCGGGUGUGACUGCGUACCUUUUGUAUAAUGGGUCAGCGACUUAUAUUCUGUAGCAAGGUUAACCGUAUAGGGGAGCCGAAGGGAAACCGAGUCUUAACUGGGCGUUAAGUUGCAGGGUAUAGACCCGAAACCCGGUGAUCUAGCCAUGGGCAGGUUGAAGGUUGGGUAACACUAACUGGAGGACCGAACCGACUAAUGUUGAAAAAUUAGCGGAUGACCUGUGGCUGGGGGUGAAAGGCCAAUCAAACCGGGAGAUAGCUGGUUCUCCCCGAAAGCUAUUUAGGUAGCGCCUCGUGAACUCAUCUUCGGGGGUAGAGCACUGUUUCGGCUAGGGGGCCAUCCCGGCUUACCAACCCGAUGCAAACUACGAAUACCGAAGAAUGUUAUCACGGGAGACACACGGCGGGUGCUAACGUCCGUCGUGAAGAGGGAAACAACCCAGACCGCCAGCUAAGGUCCCAAAGUCAUGGUUAAGUGGGAAACGAUGUGGGAAGGCACAGACAGCCAGGAUGUUGGCUUAGAAGCAGCCAUCAUUUAAAGAAAGCGUAAUAGCUCACUGGUCGAGUCGGCCUGCGCGGAAGAUGUAACGGGGCUAAACCAUGCACCGAAGCUGCGGCAGCGACGCUUAUGCGUUGUUGGGUAGGGGAGCGUUCUGUAAGCCGUUGAAGGUGUGCUGUGAGGCAUGCUGGAGGUAUCAGAAGUGCGAAUGCUGACAUAAGUAACGAUAAAGCGGGUGAAAAGCCCGCUCGCCGGAAGACCAAGGGUUCCUGUCCAACGUUAAUCGGGGCAGGGUGAGUCGACCCCUAAGGCGAGGCCGAAAGGCGUAGUCGAUGGGAAACAGGUUAAUAUUCCUGUACUUGGUGUUACUGCGAAGGGGGGACGGAGAAGGCUAUGUCAGCCGGGCGACGGUUGUCCCGGUUUAAGCAUGUAGGCGGAGGUUCCAGGUAAAUCCGGUACCUUUUAACGCUGAGGUGUGAUGACGAGGCACUACGGUGCUGAAGUGAUAAAUGCCCUGCUUCCAGGAAAAGCCUCUAAGCAUCAGGUAACACGAAAUCGUACCCCAAACCGACACAGGUGGUCAGGUAGAGAAUACCAAGGCGCUUGAGAGAACUCGGGUGAAGGAACUAGGCAAAAUGGUGCCGUAACUUCGGGAGAAGGCACGCUGAUA
rnacentral:rRNA from 1 species